AAAGGAGACUGCCAGUGAUAAACUGGAGGAAGGUGGGGAUGACGUCAAGUCAUCAUGGCCCUUACGAGUAGGGCUACACACGUGCUACAAUGGCGCAUACAAAGAGAAGCGACCUCGCGAGAGCAAGCGGACCUCAUAAAGUGCGUCGUAGUCCGGAUUGGAGUCUGCAACUCGACUCCAUGAAGUCGGAAUCGCUAGUAAUCGUGGAUCAGAAUGCCACGGUGAAUACGUUCCCGGGCCUUGUACACACCGCCCGUCACACCAUGGGAGUGGGUUGCAAAAGAAGUAGGUAGCUUAACCUUCGGGAGGGCGCUUACCACUUUGUGAUUCAUGACUGGGGUGAAGUCGUAACAAGGUAACCGUAGGGGAACCUGCGGUUGGAUCACCUCCUU
rnacentral:rRNA from 2 species